AUGACUCUCAUCACCAUCCUCAUCUGGACGCUGGCCUGCUGCUGUUUUACAGGAUGCAGCGGUCAGGUGACUGUGACUCAGCCUCCAGUAGUGACAUCUACUCCAGGAUCCACCGUCUCUCUCACCUGUAAGACCAGCCGAGCUGUUUACAGAUACAGUCGUUAUGAUUAUAUGUUCUGGUAUCAACAGAAAUCUGGACAGCCUCCAAAGCUUCUAAUAAGACAUGCGAGCACACGUGUAUCAGGAACAGCAGCUCGGUUUAGUGGCAGUGGAAGCAGCUCUGACUUUACUUUGACCAUCAGUGGAGUUCAGACUGAAGACGCUGCAGUUUACUACUGUCAGAGUCGCCAUCAAAUAAACAGUGCUUGGGUGUUCACACAGUGAUUUGUAGUCGUACAAAAACCUCCCUCAGUCCGACUGCAGAGACACUGAGCUGUUACAGCAGGAACCGACUGCAGCUGCUGAAGAGGAAGAGACUCUGACACAGACCACUGAACACAGAGCUGACAGGAACCUCACCAAGCACACACUACACAUUCACACUAAUAACUUCAUUAAAGAGAUUAUUAAAAUAUCUAAUAACACUUCAUGUUCUGUUCACAUUUACUCUCAGCUAAAGAGACAAAUGUUGCCUGA